rnacentral:lncRNA from 1 species
UUCGCGGAGGGUUGAGCGCUCACAAACAUGCUGUUGUGCUGUUAAACCACUGUACUAGGUUAGGGGAUGGUUGGGAUCCGCGGCUUACAUGCUUAUCCCCGCCAAAUUAUGUAUGUAAAAAACUAUAUGCUUGUCCCAAGUCAGGAGCCUGUAAGUCAGUGGUUAUUGUUUGUUGCUGUGUUACUUACUUGUUUUUCGUUCAUUAUUUUGUACAUUAAUUAGGCUGUUAGUUUUCUUCUAGUGAUUUCGGGGCCUUUUAUAGCUGAGUAUGUGAAAUG